GUUAAAAAGCUCGUAGUUGGAUUUCUGGGAGGGUGCCAAUGUCCGCCGACGUGCGUGCGCAGCGGCGCCCUUCCAUCCUUCUGUCAACGCCUCUUGGCAUUCAUUUGCUGGUGGCGGGCUCAGAUAUUUUACCUUGAGAAAAUUAGAGUGUUUCAGGCAGGCUAGGCCGGAAUACGUUAGCAUGGAAUAAUGGAAUAGGACUACGGUCUCUUUGUUGGUUUGAGGGACUGCAGUAAUGAUUAAUAGGGAUAGUUGGGGGCAUUAGUAUUUAAUUGUCAGAGGUGGAAUUCUCAGAUUUGUUAAAGACUAACUUAUGCGAAAGCAUUUGCCAAGGAUGUCUUCAUUAAUCAAGAACGAAAGUUAGGGGAUCAAAGACGAUCAGAUACCGUCCUAGUCUUAACCAUAAACUAUGCCGACUCGGGAUCGGGGGCGCGAACUAUCCGCCUUCGGCACCGUAUGAGACAUCAAAGUCUUUGGGUUCUGGGGGGAGUAUGGU
rnacentral:rRNA from 1 species